rnacentral:rRNA from 1 species
GCUUGCUCCCUGAUGUUAGCGGCGGACGGGUGAGUAACACGUGGGUAACCUGCCUGUAAGACUGGGAUAACUCCGGGAAACCGGGGCUAAUACCGGAUGGUUGUUUGAACCGCAUGGUUCAGACAUAAAAGGUGGCUUCGGCUACCACUUACAGAUGGACCCGCGGCGCAUUAGCUAGUUGGUGAGGUAACGGCUCACCAAGGCAACGAUGCGUAGCCGACCUGAGAGGGUGAUCGGCCACACUGGGACUGAGACACGGCCCAGACUCCUACGGGAGGCAGCAGUAGGGAAUCUUCCGCAAUGGACGAAAGUCUGACGGAGCAACGCCGCGUGAGUGAUGAAGGUUUUCGGAUCGUAAAGCUCUGUUGUUAGGGAAGAAC